CCUACGGGUGGCAGCAGUGAGGAAUAUUGGUCAAUGGGCGGGAGCCUGAACCAGCCAAGUCGCGUGAGGGAAGACGGUCCUAUGGAUUGUAAACCUCUUUAGGCGGGGAGCAAUGCCGGGCACGCGUGCCCGGCGGGAGAGUACCCGCAGAAUAAGCAUCGGCUAACUCCGUGCCAGCAGCCGCGGUAAUACGGAGGAUGCGAGCGUUAUCCGGAUUUAUUGGGUUUAAAGGGUGCGCAGGCGGAGGUGCAAGUCAGCGGUCAAAUUGCGGGGCUCAACCCCGUACUGCCGUUGAAACUGCAGCCCUUGAGUGCGCGAGAAGUAUGCGGAAUGCGUGGUGUAGCGGUGAAAUGCAUAGAUAUCACGCAGAACUCCGAUUGCGAAGGCAGCAUACCGGCGCGCAACUGACGCUCAUGCACGAAAGCGUGGGUAUCGAACAGGAUUAGAUACCCUGGUAGUC
rnacentral:rRNA from 1 species